rnacentral:rRNA from 1 species
AAGCGGAGGAAAAGAAACUAACAAGGAUUCCCCUAGUAAUGGCGAAUGAAGAGGGAAUAGCUCAACUUGAAAAUCUCCGUUGUGUUGCAACGGCGAAUGUAGUUUCGAGAAGUACUUUCCCGGCGCAUCGAGCAUGCCUAAGUUGCUUGGAACAGCACGUCAUAGAGGGUGACAACCCCGUACGUGGCAACGCUCGAGCGCUCGCGAUGUGCUUUCGAAGAGUCGGGCUGUUUGGGAAUGCAGCCCAAAACGGGUGGUAAACUCCAUCUAAAGCUAAAUACAGGCACGAGACCGAUAGCGAACAAGUACCGUGAGGGAAAGAUGAAAAGGACUUUGAAAAGAGAGUUAAAAAGUACGUGAAACCGUUGAAAGGGAAGCGAAUGGAGUUAGCAAUUCGCCCUGCCAGAUUCAGUUGUUCGUGCUUCGCGACGUGCGCGCUCUCGAUCCGCAUGGACGUGACGUGCACGGGUGCGACGUGCGGACGGCGCACUUCUGGCGGGCGAGCGUCAGCGUCGGUCGCCGACGGGCGAUAAGGUCGCGAGGAAGGUAGACGUGCCUUCGGGCGCGUUGUUAAGACUCGCGUUCGCAUGGCUCGACGGCGACCGUGGCUCCUUCACACGGAGGCGACGCGUGCCUGGCUGGUGACUCGUGCGAUCGGUCCGGCAUGUCGACCGUGGCGGACGGCACGCCUGUGCGCUCAAACUGCUGCCGGUCGCUCGCACGGUGUUCGCACACUACGCGUCGAAGACGCUGACGACCAUACGGCUCCAUCCGACCCGUCUUGAAACACGGACCAAGGAGUCUAACAUGUGCGCAAGUCUCCGGGUGAUCGAAACCCGUGGGCGCAAUGAAAGUAAAGGUCGUCCUAGACGAUUGAGGUGAGAAGCGCGCUUCGUCUCGACGCGCGCCGCAUCAUCGACCGACCUAUUCUGCUCUCAGAAAGGUUUGAGUAAGAGCGUAUCUGUUGGGACCCGAAAGAUGGUGAACUAUGCCUGAAUAGGGUGAAGCCAGCGGAAACACUGGUGGAAGCUCGUAGCGAUUCUGACGUGCAAAUCGAUCGUCGAAUUUGGGUAUAGCGGCGAAAGACUAAUCGAACCAUCUAGUAGCUGGUUCCCUCCGAAG